rnacentral:rRNA from 1 species
GUCCUUAUGAAAUAUAUUUAAGGUCUGCUCUGCCCCAUGAUUAUUUAAAUGGCUGCGGUAUUUUGACCGUACAAAGGUAGCAUAAUAAUUUGUCUUUUAAAUAAAGGCUGGAAUGAAUGAGUUGACGAGAUAUAAACUGUCUUGAUUUAUAAAAUAGAAAUUAAAAUUUUAGUUAAAAUGCUAAAAUUUUUUUAUGGGACGAUAAGACCCCGUAGAAUUUUAUUAUUAUUAAUUUAUAUAAUUUUAUGUUUUUAUUUAUUUGAGAAAUAAUAAUUUGAUUGGGAGGAUUUUUAUAUAAAAAUAACUAUAAAAUAAAUUUACAAUAAUUUUUGAUUUUAUGAAUUUUUAUUAAAGAAAUAAGAUAAAUUACCUCGGGGAUAACAGCGUAAUAUUUUUGGCAAGUUCUUAUUUAAAAAAAUGUUUGCGACCUCGAUGUUGAAUUAAGAUAAAAUUUGGGUGUAGGGGCUUAAAGUUUAAGUCUGUUCGACUUUUAAUAUCUUACGUGAUCUGAGUUCA